GGGGAAUUUUCCGCAAUGGGCGCAAGCCUGACGGAGCAACGCCGCGUGAGGGAGGAAGGCCUGUGGGUUGUAAACCUCUUUUCUCAAGGAAGAACACAAUGACGGUACUUGAGGAAUCAGCAUCGGCUAACUCCGUGCCAGCAGCCGCGGUAAGACGGAGGAUGCAAGCGUUAUCCGGAAUUAUUGGGCGUAAAGCGUCCGUAGGUGGUUAUAAAAGUCUGUUGUUAAAGCCCACAGCUCAACUGUGGAUCGGCAAUGGAAACUGUAUGACUUGAGUGUGGUAGGGGUAGAGGGAAUUCCUAGUGUAGCGGUGAAAUGCGUAGAUAUUAGGAAGAACACCAGUGGCGAAGGCGCUCUACUGGGCCAUAACUGACACUGAUGGACGAAAGCUAGGGGAGCGAAAGGNNNUAGAUACCCCUGUAGUC
rnacentral:rRNA from 1 species